rnacentral:rRNA from 1 species
CAAACAGGAUUAGAUACCCUGGUAGUCCACGCCCUAAACGAUGCACACUAGUUGUUGCUAUGCUAGACAUAGCAGUAAUGCAGUUAACACAGUAAGUGUGCCGCCUGGGGAGUACGGUCGCAAGAUUAAAACUCAAAGGAAUAGACGGGGACCCGCACAAGCGGUGGAGCAUGUGGUUUAAUUCGACGAUACGCGAAGAACCUUACCUGGCCUUGACAUAGAUAGAACUUACUAGAGAUAGUUUGGUGCUAGUUUACUAGAGCUAUCAUACAGGUGCUGCACGGCUGUCGUCAGCUCGUGUCGUGAGAUGUUGGGUUAAGUCCCGCAACGAGCGCAACCCUCGUGUUUAGUUACUAACAGUUCGGCUGAGGACUCUAGACAGACUGCCUGGGUAACCAGGAGGAAGGUGAGGACGACGUCAAGUCAUCAUGGCCCUUACGGCCAGGGCUACACACGUGCUACAAUGGGGUAUACAAAGAGCAGCGAUACCGCGAGGUGGAGCAAAUCUCAUAAAAUAUCUCCCAGUUCGGAUAGUAGUCUGCAACUCGACUACUUGAAGUUGGAAUCGCUAGUAAUCGUAGAUCAGCAAUGCUACGGUGAAUACGUUCCCGGGUCUUGUACUCACCGCCCGUCACACCAUGGGAAUUGAAUUCAUUCGAAGCGGGGAUGCUAAAAUAGCUACCUUCCACAGUGGAUUUAGUAACUAGGGUGAAGUCGUAACAAGGUAACC